UACAGAGGUCUCAAGCGUUGUUCGGAUUCAUUGGGCGUAAAGGGCGCGUAGGCGGCGGGGUAAGUCGGGUGUGAAAUCUCAGGGCUCAACCCCGAAACUGCAUUCGAUACUGCCGUGCUUGAGGACUGGAGAGGAGACUGGAAUUUACGGUGUAGCGGUGAAAUGCGUAGAUAUCGUAAGGAAGACCAGUGGCGAAGGCGGGGUCUCUGGACAGUUCCUGACGCUGAGGCACGAAGGUCAGGGGAGCAAACGGG
rnacentral:rRNA from 1 species